UUUUUUUCCUCGAAACUCAGCUGCAAGGAGAAGGAGAAGGUAGGCUCCAGCCAUGGCUUCCCAGCUCUCCGCCGCCACAUCCGUGCCGCAGUUCCAUGGCCUCCGGACCUACUCCUCUCCUAGGUCCAUGGUGACGCUGCCAUCGUUGAGGAUGAGCAAGAAGAGGUCCCAGGGCAUCCGGUGCGACUACAUCGGCUCAGCCACCAACGUUAUCAUGGUGACGACGACGACGCUGAUGCUGUUCGCGGGGAGGUUCGGGCUGGCGCCGUCGGCGAACAGGAAGUCGACGGCGGGGCUGAAGCUGGAGGCGCGCGACUCCGGCCUGCAGACCGGCGACCCCGCCGGGUUCACGCUCGCCGACACGCUGGCCUGCGGCGCCGUCGGCCACAUCAUGGGCGUCGGCGUCGUCCUCGGCCUCAAGAACAUCGGCGUCCUGGACCAGAUCAUCGGCUAAUCAAAUUCAUUAAGCUAGUCACACGAAUCAAUACUCCUAUGUGUAAUCGAUGCAUGAGUGCCUGUGUGAUGGACGAUGUAAUGAUCAUGUAAAUUGUGCGUGGAAUCAGUGCUUAUCUAGCUUAAUUUUG
rnacentral:misc_RNA from 1 species